rnacentral:rRNA from 1 species
UGCUGGCGGCGUGCUACCCAUGCAAUUAGAACGCUGAAGGAGGAGCUCGCUUCUCUGGAUGAGUUGCGAACGGGUGAGUAACGCGUAGGUAACCUGCCUGGUAGCGGGGGAUAACUAUUGGAAACGAUAGCUAAUACCGCAUAAUAGUAGAUGUUGCAUGACAUUUACUUAAAAGGUGCAAUUGCAUCACUACCAGAUGGACCUGCGUUGUAUUAGCUAGUUGGUGGGGUAACGGCUCACCAAGGCGACGAUACAUAGCCGACCUGAGAGGGUGAUCGGCCACACUGGGACUGAGACACGGCCCAGACUCCUACGGGAGGCAGCAGUAGGGAAUCUUCGGCAAUGGACGAAAGUCUGACCGAGCAACGCCGCGUGAGUGAAGAAGGUUUACGGAUCGUAAAGCUCUGUUGUAAGAGAAGAACGAGUGUGAGAGUGGAAAGUUCACACUGUGACGGUAUCUUACCAGAAAGGGACGGAUAACUACGUGCCAGCAGACGCGGAUAUACGUAGGUCCCGAGCGUUGUCCGGGAUUAUUGGGCGUAAAGCGAGCGCAAGCGGAUAAAUAGUAUGAAGUUCA